UAGGGAAUCUUCGGCAAUGGGGGGAACCCUGACCGAGCAACGCCGCGUGAGUGAAGAAGGUUUUCGGAUCGUAAAGCUCUGUUGUUAAGGAAGAACGAGUGUGAGAAUGGAAAGUUCAUACUGUGACGGUACUUAACCAGAAAGGGACGGCUAACUACGUGCCAGCAGCCGCGGUAAUACGUAGGUCCCGAGCGUUGUCCGGAUUUAUUGGGCGUAAAGCGAGCGCAGGCGGUUAGAAAAGUCUGAAGUGAAAGGCAGUGGCUCAACCAUUGUAGGCUUUGGAAACUGUGUAACUUGAGUGCAGAAGGGGAGAGUGGAAUUCCAUGUGUAGCGGUGAAAUGCGUAGAUAUAUGGAGGAACACCGGUGGCGAAAGCGGCUCUCUGGUCUGUAACUGACGCUGAGGCUCGAAAGCGUGGGGAGCGAACAGG
rnacentral:rRNA from 1 species